GGGAAUGAGGCUGGAGAAGGAGGUUCCUGCGGGAGACCCCGUGUGGGAAUGACUCAUUGCUCGCAUCUUCCUGGCGACAGGGUGGCUGAUAAGAGAAGAUGGGCUGGAAGGAACGGGGGCUGGAGAGAUGAAGUGCUGAUUUACAUCUUGUCUCCGCUCACCCGGAAGAUUCUUGGAGACCCAUGCAUCCCUACGCUCCGUAAAUGUACUUAAUACUGUGUCUUAGGCAAUAAAUGCAUUUUGUUUUGGGUGUGA